CCUACGGGAGGCAGCAGUGAGGAAUAUUGGUCAAUGGCCGUAAGGCUGAACCAGCCAAGUAGCGUGAGGGAAGACUGCCCUAUGGGUUGUAAACCUCUUUUAUGCGGGGACAAAGGUGUCCACGUGUGGAUGUUUGCAGGUACCGCAUGAAUAAGGACCGGCUAAUUCUGUGCCAGCAGCCGCGGUAAUACGGAAGGUCCGGGCGUUAUCCGGAUUUAUUGGGUGUAAAGGGAGCGUAGGCCGGUCUUUAAGCGUGCCGUGAAAUUUUGUGGCUCAACCAUGAGAGUGCGGCGCGAACUGGCGACCUUGAGUGCGCGGAGGGCAGGCGGAAUUCGUGGUGUAGCGGUGAAAUGCUUAGAUAUCACGAAGAACCCCGAUUGCGAAGGCAGCCUGCCGCAGCGUUACUGACGCUGAGGCUCGAAAGCGCGGGGAUCGAACAGGAUUAGAUACCCCGGUAGUC
rnacentral:rRNA from 1 species